rnacentral:rRNA from 1 species
UUGACCUCGGAUCAGGUAGGAAUACCCGCUGAACUUAAGCAUAUCAAUAAGCGGAGGAAAAGAAACCAACAGGGAUUGCCCUAGUAACGGCGAGUGAAGCGGCAACAGCUCAAAUUUGAAAUCUGGCCUCGGCCCGAGUUGUAAUUUGCAGAGGAUGCUUCUGGCGCGGUGCCCUCCGAGUUCCCUGGAACGGGACGCCACAGAGGGUGAGAGCCCCGUAUGGUCGGACACCAAGCCUGUGUGAAGCUCCUUCGACGAGUCGAGUAGUUUGGGAAUGCUGCUCUAAAUGGGAGGUAAAUCUCUUCUAAAGCUAAAUACCGGCCAGAGACCGAUAGCGCACAAGUAGAGUGAUCGAAAGAUGAAAAGCACCUUGAAAAGGGGGUUAAAUAGUACGUGAAAUUGUUGAAAGGGAAGCACUUGUGACCAGACUUGGGCCGGGCGGCUCAUCAGGGGUUCUCCCCUGUGCACUCCGCCCGGCACAGGCCAGCAUCGGUCUUCGCGGGGGGACAAGACCGCCGGGAACGUAGCACCCUCCGGGGUGUGUUAUAGCCCGGCGGACGAUACCCCCGCGGGGACCGAGUCCGC